AUUGAACGCUGGCGGCAUGCCUUACACAUGCAAGUCGAACGGCAGCACGGGUGCUUGCACCUGGUGGCGAGUGGCGAACGGGUGAGUAAUACAUCGGAACGUACCUUAUCGUGGGGGAUAACGCAGCGAAAGCUGUGCUAAUACCGCAUACGCCCUGAGGGGGAAAGCGGGGGAUCGCAAGACCUCGCGCGAUUAGAGCGGCCGAUGCCUGAUUAGCUUGUUGGUGGGGUAAAAGCCCACCAAGGCGACGAUCAGUAGCUGGUCUGAGAGGACGAUCAGCCACACUGGGACUGAGACACGGCCCAGACUCCUACGGGAGGCAGCAGUGGGGAAUUUUGGACAAUGGGGGCAACCCUGAUCCAGCAAUGCCGCGUGAGUGAAGAAGGCCUUCGGGUUGUAAAGCUCUUUUGUCAGGGAAGAAACACCGGCUCUAACACAGUCCGGGAAUGACGGUACCCGAAGAAUAAGCACCGGCUAACUACGUGCCAGCCGCCGCAGUAAAAC
rnacentral:rRNA from 1 species